rnacentral:rRNA from 1 species
GACAGAGGGUGCAAACGUUUGUUCGGAAUUACUGGGCGUAAAGCGCGUGUAGGCGGCUAAGGUAAGUCGGGCGUGAAAUCCCCACGGCUCAACCGUGGAAAGUGCACUCGAAACUGACAUAGCUAGAGUCCUGGAGAGGAAGGUGGAAUGCUUGGUGUAGAGGUGAAAUUCGUAGAUAUCAAGCGGAACACCGGUGGCGAAGGCGGCCUUCUGGACAGUGACUGACGCUGAGACGCGAAAAGCGUGGGGGAGCAAACAGG